GUAGGUGGCAAGCGUUGUCCGGAAUUAUUGGGCGUAAAGCGCGCGCAGGCGGUUCUUUAAGUCUGAUGUGAAAGCCCACGGCUCAACCGUGGAGGGUCAUUGGAAACUGGAGAACUUGAGUACAGAAGAGGAAAGCGGAAUUCCACGUGUAGCGGUGAAAUGCGUAGAGAUGUGGAGGAACACCAGUGGCGAAGGCGGCUUUCUGGUCUGUAACUGACGCUGAGGCGCGAAAGCGUGGGGAGCAAACAGGAUUAGAUACCCUGGUAGUCCACGCCGUAAGCGAUGAGUGCUAAGUGUUAGGGGGUUUCCGCCCUUAGUGCUGCAGCUAACGCAUUAAGCACUCCGCCUGGGAGUACGGCCGCAAGGCUG
rnacentral:rRNA from 1 species